AUCACUAUCAAAAAUAAUAAAAUAUUCCAUGACCAAUCUACAAUAACCGGUUAUUCUAGUAACCAGGUUAUUGAAAAUUUCCCCCAAAAGUUUCUCUCUCUUCAUUAUUUUAUUAUUAUUCCACUUUCUCUCCUUUAAUAACCACCCUCAGUGACCAAUGGCUGGGUAUGCUAUUAUAUAAACAUCAAUAUUUUUUACCACCCUCUCUCCUAAACUACUACUACCACCACCACCUCCACCUCAUCCUCCUCCUCCUCCCUUUUACAUACAAACCACCACCAUCCAUACUACACAAACCACCACAGCAAUUCUACCUGAUUUCGUGUAUCCGGCGACCGGCUAGGCUUCUCAAGGCUUCAAUAAUGGAGCGGCGACAAGAUUUUUUUUCCCAAGGUCCCUGCGUAUAUUCUUUGGAAAAUUUCGGAAAAAUUAGCGAAUUCUACUACAAGGAAAUGCAAUUUGAACGAUCGAUUUUACUCACGGGCAAGAUACCCUGAGUUGCAAUUUAGCUAGCGUAUAAUAAACACUAGCUAAUUAUCGACAUCUUUGAACCAUUUGUUAUUCUUUAAUUUCUUUUUUCAAUGGUGGAAAAGUGGUCAAAUAGACAAAUACCCUAAUAUAAUUGAAUUACCAUAAUAAUCUUAAAAUGGGGUUAAAAGUUACCCUUGGUAAAUAAGCAUAAAAAUAUUGAAUGGGCAAAAUGGGUUAAAAUUUACCCUUGGAUUUUCCUCUGUGUAAUCAAAUAUUUUUAAAAAGUGUUUGAAUUCCCGUGCUUAACUCACUUCUUCUCUAUUGCAUUCUUUCACUCUCUUCGCUUUCUCCUUUUCUCUCUUCUACAAAUGUCAUUUUGUACUCAAUUUCAACCACCUUUAAAUGCCAAAAAGAUUCAAUACCUAGAGGUAUCUUGCUAGUAAACCCAUUAAUAGCGUCGAUAAAACCCUAAGCUCUAAGGUUUCGACAAAAGAAGCUGGGGUUCUAGCAGAAACAGAGGCGUGAAGAUCCAAGGUUGGAAAAUUUUUGAGAAUACACUAUUUUUGGUAAGUUUAGUUUAAAUUUUGAGAAUAUACUACUCCCUCCGUCCCUAACUUACAUUCCUCCUUUCUAUUUUUGGUAUUUCAAAAUUACAUUCCUCCUUUCAAUUUUUGGUAAGUUUUUUUUAGUAAAUCAACUUUUUUUUUCUGUUUUAUAUUUAAUGCUUUCUCACUCAUCCUUACCUAAUUUCACUCAUAAUCCUUGUGUCAAAUUACAAUAAAAAUAAUUGGUUAAAAAUUUUCAAUUAGGAGCAUGUAAUUGGUCCUUUUUUUUUUGCAAAAGAUUAAUGACAUGUCAUAAGUAAUAACUAAUCUAUCUUUGUACUUCCCAUUGCAUUAUCUAAUUAUUGUUAUUUGUCUUAUUCUUUCCUCCUUAAUUCCCGUGUAAAUUUCCAAAGAGGAAUGUAAUUUAGGGACGGAGGGAGUAUAUUCGGUAACAUUAUCUAUGUAUUAUGUUAUGUAAUCUGUUUUUGGAUGGUAGAAUUGAUGUAUAUUUGGUGUAGAUUUUUUAUUUUUUGUUUUUUUUAUUAAUGUCAGAAUCGGUAUAAAAUUGUAUAAUGACAUUGGUUUGGUUAUGUUUUUUCUACUAGUAGUUCAAAUUCCAAUAUGUUAAGACAUAGAUAAGAUCUGCUUCUUAUUACAAGUAUUAUGGAGUAAAUAAAUUGAAGCAUGCAAAAAUAACACAUACUCCGUAAUUGUUUUA